rnacentral:rRNA from 1 species
UACGUAGGGGGCAAGCGUUGUCCGGAAUCAUUGGGCGUAAAGCGCGUGUAGGCGGUUCGGUAAGUCCGCUGUGAAAGUCGGGGGCUCAACCCUCGGAUGCCGGUGGAUACUGUCGGACUAGAGUGCGGAAGAGGCGAGUGGAAUUCCUGGUGUAGCGGUGAAAUGCGCAGAUAUCAGGAGGAACACCGAUUGCGAAGGCAGCUCGCUGGGACGUUACUGACGCUGAGACGCGAAAGCGUGGGGAGCAAACAGG